rnacentral:rRNA from 1 species
ACGCUAGCUACAGGCUUAACACAUGCAAGUCGAGGGGAAACGACAUCGAAAGCUUGCUUUUGAUGGGCGUCGACCGGCGCACGGGUGAGUAACGCGUAUCCAACCUGCCCACCACUUGGGGAUAACCUUGCGAAAGUAAGACUAAUACCCAAUGAUAUCUCUAGAAGACAUCUGAAAGAGAUUAAAGAUUUAUCGGUGAUGGAUGGGGAUGCGCCUGAUUAGCUUGUUGGCGGGGUAACGGCCCACCAAGGCGACGAUCAGUAGGGGUUCUGAGAGGAAGGUCCCCCACAUUGGAACUGAGACACGGUCCAAACUCCUACGGGAGGCAGCAGUGAGGAAUAUUGGUCAAUGGACGAGAGUCUGAACCAGCCAAGUAGCGUGCAGGAUGACGGCCCUAUGGGUUGUAAACUGCUUUUAUAAGGGAAUAAAGUGAGCCUCGUGAGGCUUUUUGCAUGUACCUUAUGAAUAAGGACCGGCUAAUUCCGUGCCAGCAGCCGCGGUAAUACGGAAGGUCCGGGCGUUAUCCGGAUUUAUUGGGUUUAAAGGGAGCGUAGGCCGGAGAUUAAGCGUGUUGUGAAAUGUAGACGCUCAACGUCUGCACUGCAGCGCGAACUGGUUUCCUUGAGUACGCACAAAGUGGGCGGAAUUCGUGGUGUAGCGGUGAAAUGCUUAGAUAUCACGAAGAACUCCGAUUGCGAAGGCAGCUCACUGGAGCGCAACUGACGCUGAAGCUCGAAAGUGCGGGUAUCGAACAGGAUUAGAUACCCUGGUAGUCCGCACGGUAAACGAUGGAUGCCCGCUGUUGGUCUGAAUAGGUCAGCGGCCAAGCGAAAGCAUUAAGCAUCCCACCUGGGGAGUACGCCGGCAACGGUGAAACU